CAGGGAUGGCCAACAUGAACAUGUUCGUGAACCAAAUGGACACAAGAAUACAAUGAUACCAAUAGCCAAAAUGUUUAUAAAUAUGUUAUACAAACCACAUCUGACUAGUGACUAUGACUAAAGUUGCAGUUGGACACUCCUAACUUAUAGUAUAAAUGCUAAUGUGUCGCGUAAUAAAUCAACCCUCAAGUUGAUAAAACAGUUACUUUAGGAGAAAAAAUGUACGUCCCGGAGAAGUUAUCAAUCAUCGUGUCUUCAGCCCGGAAUCAGCUAAUGUUGU